GACUGGCACCGGGUGUCCCUCAUCUACGAGGACGGCACGCUCCUACUGAGGGUGGACAAUCAGCCGUGCAUCAUUUCUGAAGACUUCACUGGUCCCGUACAGAAGACGUCUUGCCCGCUGACCGUGGGUACUGAUCCUUUAGAGAAGGAGACGAAAUACAGAGGUUACAUUGACGAUAUCCUGGUCGCCAGAUACUGCAGACGAUUCGUGGAACAAGUACCACUUGACGACUUUGAUCUCCAUGACUACAACGAAGAAGAGGCAGAUGACACAGAGAACUUGAUUGACACAUUCUCAAACAUCGACGUAGGAUUCAAAGCAUUGCUUUAAAACCACGAUUACCUACAGCAGACAGUGACAGAUGUGUGCGCUGAGAAUUUCACCACAAACAGUGGGACAUUUGCAAGUAUGGUCCCCGACUAGUUGUAGUCUCGUGGACAUCUCGCGAGAUUUCCUGCAACGUGACUUCCGCCAUAGCCAAGUAGAGGCCAUGCGUGGCUUCGCGUAGCCUGGCUACUUGUGUUUCAUGAGCACCGAUGUGUAUUCUUAUUUAUUG